rfam:Euryarchaeota archaeon HMET1 HMET1_1, whole genome shotgun sequence.
UAGGCUGAUUCUAAGCUGCCUGAUGCUCAGGCGGCUCACGAAAAAACAAUCACAACAUUACUGCCACAACUAGGAGGAGCAAACACACUAUACGGAGCAG